rnacentral:tRNA from 1 species
GCCCGGAUGGCGGAAUUGGCAGACGCGCUAGAUUCAGAGUCUAGUGAGGUCACACUCGUGCAGGUUCAACUCCUGUUCCGGGCA